rnacentral:lncRNA from 1 species
UUAUCGUUUUUGAGCAGUUUAGAUUUAGGGGAAGGGAUCGAUUUUUAAUCAUUUCUAUCGAUAUCUGCGAAAUCUUAAUUGGAAAAUUAGUGUCGUCUGCUUGAUUUUGUUUGCACGUUUCGAAAAAGAGGCGACGUUUAAUUAAAUAAAUUAACAAAGAAAACGAAAAGAUGAUCACUUAUUGUUUUCAAACGUAUAGGUACGAAAACGUGGCUGCGAGAAAAAUAGAACAGCAAAUAUAGAUAGGUGUGGUCAUCGUGUCAUCUCUGGUCGUGUUCUUGAUAGAGAAUCACUGAAUACACACUCCAUGCUGUUUCUAGCAGAUUUCAGGCCAGAGCCAGCCAUCAUAACAACAUGAUAUAUGCCAGUUUUGCUUUUACUGGUAUUGACCUGUCAUCAGCAACAAUCUCACUAUCAUCGCUUGGAUAAACAGUAUCCCGUUUGAUUGAAGAUUACCGAUGUUGGAUCCCGAGUUACGUGAUCUCUUAUUCCCUUUUAUGUAAAUUCCUCUGUCCUCGUGUACACCCAUGUGAGUGUGGGUGUAUUCACGAGUCUGAGGCCCUUUUUCCUAUCCCGCCUGGUGGAUUCAACUUUUCAGCGGAUGGAUGAAGCACUUCUGGAUGGAUGCCUGGCCGUAUUUCCCAGACUUAAAGUUGGUUGAACGAGUUAAAUGGACAACAUUUGUCCACCGCUGCAGAGCGUCUAAUCUCAUGGGAUUGUACAUCCGCGUCCUGUUCCUCCUCAUUUCCGGCUUGGUUUGAAUCUGCGAAACAAUUUUGAUCCUCCUUGAAUCGUGUCCCGUACCGCCUUGGCUGUUUCGAAAGCGUAAUUGGCAUACGCUUUCAUCACGGCAGCUGUUGAGUUUGACUUGGCGUUGAUCAGUGUCGAGUACGGAAGUCCCAGUCCGGAUUGAUCCACCUAAUAAAUUAAUGUCCUUCCAGUCAAGAUAAUUGUACACUUCAAAGAGAAAACUUUCUCCAAAGUUCUUCCGGAUGGAUGAGCUUACUGAUCUCCAAUCGAACUGGUCGGCCGUCCAGUUUGACACGGUCAUCGGCCACCGACCGUACGAAUCCAGAAUUUCAGUCAACGGUGUCAAUCCCAAAAUUUCAAUCGCAUCCGUGUCCAUGCAAGCCUUGUACAUAUCUCGAGAAUUAUUCACCGGUUUCGAAUCCCGCAUCGCAUUCGGCUCGGUUAAAACUUCUGUUUAGUGUUCCGGCAUUUUAAAAAUUAAGCGAUAAGACGAGGAGAUCAGUUUUCUUAAAUACCUUUAAGUAAGUGAGUGACUUGUUCCCUUAAAAUAUUGAAAUGGCCCCAGCGGGAACUUGUUUCUGGAAUGCUGUUCUUACGAAGCCAACCUCCGCAGGUGAACUGGUAAAAAUCCUGACAAGGAUCGACGGAUGGAUCCAUGGCUUCCAUCAAAGCAGCGGCUGAACCCCAAUCAUAUUCCUUUCAUUAUAAUAAAAAAUUUCAUAGGUUGAAUAGAUUUACCUGAGACGACGCAUUCCUUGGUGUUGCAAACGGGAUCUUUCAGUUUAAAGCCAUCGAUCGUAAGUUGAGCACUUCCCAGCUCUUUGAUCACAGCGUCCAAUUGUUUGAUGGAUUGGCUAACUGUUUUUAAGAAUUUUGACUGAGAUCAAACAAGAAAUUCUAACUUGAUUGAGUCAGUGAACCUUGAUAGCCUAAAAGUCCAGUGGCCACCAUAAAAACUCCGGCAACAACGACAGCUACCCGCACGAUCCAGCGAGACUUUUUCGGGCUAUGUGCCGUCCAAAAAUCGAAAAGUGAACUUUUUCAAUCCAACUGUCAAACAUGUAAAGAUACGUACGUUUUAAUAUUUGCUGGGGCUAGAGUCUCUGUCGAUGUGACGACGAAUGAAUCCGCCAUUGUUCAAUCUUACAGAAGUGAAUAUCAAAAGUUGUUGUAUUUUUAGCGAAUUUUGGGUAGCUCGUCUCCGCUUUUUCUUCCUUGAAGAAUGACAAUUUUCUUGCCAGUUACUGAUUGUUAAAUACAGGGAAUACUGUACAUGA